GGUAAGGUUUGUUUCCAUUUUUUAAUUUUACAGAUACCUGUGUUUCCACAUUAGGUCAGUCGAGGUUUUUUCAGAUCCUCUCCACUAUAUCUUCGGAAUUCU